AAUUGCAGUGCCAUGAAGAUCAAAGAAACAAUAUGAUACCAAAGUGAACAUACAUGGCCAAUUGUGUAGCCCUCUUCAUGUGAGAUGAAUCCUAGUAAUUAAGUAUGUACUGAUGGUAAUGAUUUGGUAAUGUAAACUUGGAACACCCUAGAUGAUGACCAUGCAACAACAUAAUAUGCUAGGUUGGCUGGGAUAAUUAUCUUCCCAGUGUAAUAUUCAAUCCUUCAGAAUCAAUAAAAUAACCAACACUGUAAUCAGAACAAACAUGGAAGUAGUAUGCAGUGCUGAAAUAGUGCAAAUCAGUAUAGCUUAUUGCCAGCUCUUGAACC
rnacentral:lncRNA from 1 species